GGUAGCCGACCUGAGAGGGUGAUCGGCCACAUUGGGACUGAGAUACGGCCCAGACUCCUACGGAAGGCAGCAG
rnacentral:rRNA from 1 species